rnacentral:rRNA from 1 species
AUGAGCGGGAGAAAAAUCAGCACAACCAAGCAUGACGUACGUGUUCGGCAAAACACAACGUCUACCCGUAUUUUACUUUGCGUUGAACCGUCGACCCUCACAUUGCCGUCCAGUGAGCCGUGCGGAGAAGGGGGAAAAGGACGAAAACAACGAGUAUCUAGAUGCAACAGGGGCUCGUCGGCGACGAGAGGCACAAUAGAGCAUAGAAAAUGGAAUCACCUCGCUGAACGGAACCUGUUGGUGGCUUGGUGCCCGACGGUCUCGGGCAACUGCUGCUGCCCGGCGGUGAACAUGCCGGCCUCCGGCCGCCCGCCCUGGGUGUGA